rnacentral:lncRNA from 1 species
GACGAAGAGACUAGAGGGUGAGCUUCAUGCAUGUUAAGGACAGCAGACGCUCCAUCACGGGAAAAUGAACUCAACAGACUUUGCAUAGUAGAAUUACUAGAUGCAUUGACAUGGUUACCAAGUAUAUCAGAAAAUGUUUGUGGAGAACCAGUUGAACUUAAGACUUGCAAAUGAGAAAGCUGGGGCUGCGCAGCCGAAGUCAUCUGAGAGAGACUGGACAUGGCCUUGGUUUGCUGUUGAUGUUGAAACUGCGAGGAGUUCACUUCUUGGUGUUGCUGAAGCUGUGGCUGCAGCAAUUGCUGUUGAUCAUUAUAAUUCUGACGGCGCUGCAAUUGUUGCUGAAGCAUCUGUGCCUGAGAUAUUAACUGGUUUUCGGAGAAGCCGUGAAGCAGAUUUUGCUGUGAAAGAGAAGGCUGCAAAAUCUGACUAUGACUCAAAGAUGCUGAACCGCCAGGUAUACUUUGUUGGAACUGCAUAAAGGACUGAUUUGCAAGCUUCGAUGGAUCUAGUGCAGCCAUUGUUUGCAGAAUGUCAGGUUGCAAACCUAACAUAGAAGCAUCAAUUCUUGGCUGCAUAAACGGAGUAACACCAUAUCCCUGGAAAUUAAGGGACUGAAUCCCUUGAUCUCCUAUGUCACCACGAAGCCACGAGAGUGGAGAAUUCAUAGUCAUAUUACCAUUGGGAAAACCUGAGUGAACGAGAGGUAAACAAACCACGUAAAGUUAGAACUCAACCAAAUUUACCUUGUUUCCCCAGGGCAAAAAAAGCAAGAAGAGACCAUACCAGGGAGAGAAGGUAGUCCAGAUGGCCAAGGCCUCUUUAGCCUAAGGGAGAAAGGAGAAGGAUACAUAGGAAAAGUUGUCAGAGGUUCAAUUUCCCACAGCGAAACUCUGGGCUGCCUCUCUCCUGCAGUUGAUUCAUCCCAUCCAACCUGCAUCAGGACCAGCGACAAAAGAUCUUAAUUUAUACACUAAAGGCACCAACAGGCGCGUUAUAAAUUAUAAAUUUAAACAAAGAUACAAGUAGCAGUUAGUUGAUCUAUUACUUUUAUUAAUGACCACCUGUUAUAAAACUAACCUUCACAGACCGCCAAUGUGAAUUUGGCCAACGAACAGGAUCUAAAUCACUGAUACCAGUAAUUGUGCCCAUAUACCUGAAUCAAAAGAUAUUUACAUGAUUAAAGUGUGCAUGAGAGAGAGAGAGAGAGAGAGAGAGAGAGAGAGAGAGAGAGAGAAAAUUGGGGGAAAUUGCUGAGGCUCAAAAUCAAUAUUCCACACCAGCAACAAAAAUUUGAAAUACCGAACUGGUUGUAAGAGGGUUCGCAUGUAAACAUAUUAACAGCGAAAGUAUGGUAUCUUUCUUCGUAGAAGAGGUGGCAGUAGCUCAAAUAUUUUAAUCUCCUAACUUUCUUUUCUCUUCCUAAAAGAAUUUCCCCUGCUUCUAAAUCAGCUAAAACUUCACAAAGGCACCUUAGCAUAGAGUGACUUCAAACGCAAGCUCUAACAAAAUUAACUACCCACCAAAGACGGCCACCCUUUUCACAUAGAUAUCCCUCCCUUUUACUAUAAACCUGGCUCCCCAAUUCAAUUUUGUCUUUCAAAUUACUUUACAUUGCACGUGAAAGUCCAAGAAGAUAAGACCUACCUACGGACACUCGAUUCUUCUGUUUCAAACAGCAUCCGGAACCUCAUACCAACAGAAAUCCGUGUAUGAUAAGCUGCUUUAGCAUACUUGGCAAGAGGUAUGACAAACUCUGAUGGACUAGCCCUGAAAUUAUGAAGCUAAAAGGUUAAACAUGACUCAAUUUUUGUUAGCAGAUGUAACAAAAGAAAAAGACUUUACCUUGGAUUAUAAAAUAUUGUAAAGCGGCUAUUAGUUGCAGCUGCAUGAGCCGCAGCAGCAAGGAGACCAAUGUGCAUGCUAUCACUUGACAAAACUGAAGAAGGCAUAACAGUUUGAGGACGAUUAGCACGUCGAAUCCCCAAAAGCAAUUGAUUAUUUUCAUUCCUGAUAGAAGGUGACAGUAUUUGAGCAAAGAUAAAACUGAUAUCAACGAACUGAGAGGGUGAAACGAGAGUGAAUUCCUUAAAUUGCAAAUGAUUAUACAACUACAUCACUGUCAACUGCCAAUACAUGAUGCUGAUUCAGAGCUACCUUAUCACGGAAGAGAAAAUGAUACAGGUUUACAGUUAAAAGUCACAGACGUAAAAGAUUGAAAUCAUUCCUAAAUUCGUGAAGAUUCUCAGUUUGGCUUACUCAAAGUAGCAAAUGACAAGCAAGACAACAUGGUCAAAUAAGAUUCUGCACUUAAAUUACAUACUGCCAUUUAUCUGAAACUAUUUAAAUCAUUUGAAAGUUUCGGAUGGUGGAGUGGAAUCUUUUGAAGAAUUAAUAAAAGGUACAGACAAAAUCUUCUACCAGAUAAAGAUGACUGCAUCGCCCGCAACAAGUCUCUUUGCACUUACGAACACACUCCAUCCUGUUGUCAAUAGAUGCCUCUUUGGUUGGCCUAAACAUGAGCAACCAAUUAGUGUGCUGGUAAUGCUUGUGCCCAAUUUCAUAAAUAAUAACAUGGCAAGUGACCAGAGAGUUUGAUUUUAAAAUACUCCCUCACAACAAAAUUAAGAGAUGCAAAAUCCGAAACAUGCAAAGUAGUUUCUUCGGAAAGCAAGCAGCCAGAAGAAAGCAGCAAUUUUUUCUACUAUGUCUGUGUUGUGUAUAGAUAUUUUUUGGGAUUGAAGUGAAAGGACAAGUCAGUAAAGAUGAUAAUGAUAAAUAUCUCAGCUCAAUGUUGUGACUUUAUAUAGUUCAUAUACUGCAGUAGACAAAAAACUCUAAUCUCAAGCUUGAAUUAUCUUUUCUUUCAGGUACAUUUGAUUCAUGGUAUCAACUACAGAAAUAGUACUCCCUUUAAGUUCUGCCUGAACAGAAACUCACCACGAAAAAUAUGCCGGAAUUUCCAUUCAUUUCCAUGGAGAUCUUUUGCAAUCAACUCUUGACAGGGCGGCUGCUGAGAGUAAUCCUGCAAGAUCAAGACACAUUCGUCAUGAGAUCACUGAGCACUACAAGGAUACUACAGAAUCCAAUGCUGAUGAGACACAGCAAAAGAAAAAGGAAAAGAGAACCACAAUGCUGAUGAUCUGUCGAAGGAACCUACAAGAGGGGGAAAAACUUUUUCUGCUGCACGUCGGGGGACAGAGAAUCCACCAUGAGUACUGGUGUCACUUGCCGUCAAGGUUUUGCAGAAAUAGUUGGUUGGUUGUUUACUCGGGAUGCCAAGUUCAGCUGGUAGCAGGCACACAUCCUUUUGCUCUUGCUACAUAGAGUAAGUCCGUUAACACAAAAUAAUUAGUAAAACGGAUUUGAAAAAGGUAGGAAGUGGCAUACUGCACUUAGUGGCUGCAACGUCAUUUGGGCAUAUACUUCAUCAGUCUCGACAUCUGCCUGUAAUUUAAAAAUUCUUCAGAAUAAUACCCUCCAUCACAGAAACACACAUAGAUAACAUAUCACAGCUACUAAAACUAAACUUACAUGCAUUGUCAGGUUGUGAAGUUGACAAAUUAGCUGAGGUGGUAAACCAGGAUAGUUAGGGAUAUGAGCAUCUACUUCCUUGUUUGUCGAGGCAGCAACCUGUAAAAUCUAAAUUAGAUUGAAGGCGUCUAAAACUCUCAAGUCCAUACUUCAUAAAAGAAACUCAAGGAGCUACUCAAAGCUAAAAUAGGAAGAAUGUGCCUCAAGAAGAAUCAGCUCAGAUAGAAUUCAAUGGCUCAUGGCACAAACAAUAGCAGCAUACUCUAUUUAGUCACUAGAACUAGAGGUGCAAGCUUUAACAGAACAUCACAUGAAAUUAAAGGGCAAGUUACACAUUUGGCCAGUCGCCCAAAAAUAAUACUUCUGCUAGCCAAAUGUACAAAAAAGACACACUGAUUAUGUAUAAAAUAUGUAUAUUAUACAUUAAUAUACAAAAAAAUAUAUAAUACAUUUUUUAGGCUAUUAUUUUUUGGGAGCGGCUAUACAGUGUAAUUUUCCCGAAAUUAAUCAAAUAUGAACCAUAUCAAACACUGAAACUUCAAUGAGCUACACUAUGAAACAUAAUAUACCUACAACAAACCUGUUCACUAUGCCCUUGAGGAAAAUACACAACUCUGCUUCCUACGGGCGGAAGCGAAACUAGUGGUCCUGCACACGCGUGCCACAGCUCUGAAUUCAAGCAUUUCUUCUCCCCUGUUGCUGUAAUUUAAGCAUAAAAAUAUGAACUUUACUAAUUAAUCACUACAAAUAAUGCUUCACUUCAAGUCCACCAAACAAGUAAUAACAACAAACAAACAAACCUUCCUCUGGUUGAGGAUUGAACCCAGCUGAAGAUACCCUCAUUACAGCAAAUCAAACUAACUCCUAUCAAGAACCUACUUUUCACUAGUUAAACCCAAAAAGGGCACCCCUCAAAUAAUAUAAAAAAACAAAAUAAUGAGAACUUUAGUCUUUUUAGUACAACCCCCACCCCCCACCCCAAGCAAAAACCAAGCAGCAAGAAACCAUAUUUUUCAUCCAAACCCACUUCCACAACUAAAUACCACCAUUAAAAACUGCUUCAUACUUGUCCCCAGAUCUUCAAUUACUCACUGGAAAAUAAAACAAACACACAAAAAACUACACAAACCCUAAAUACCCUUUUCUUGAAAUAAGCUACAAAAGCAAGUCAGCAACUGAGCUUAGCAAAAAACUGAAGCAGAUCUUGAAGUUAACUAAGUAAAACUUGAAACCCUUAAAGAAACUGGGGGUAUGAGUUAAAACUAAGUAGAGAGCACAGUAAAAGAAGCAACUUUUUGGCUACUUCAAGAUCUCUGUAAGAGCUCAAGUUGGCUAUUUCAGUAGAUCUCUCUCUCUCUCUCUCGGCUGUACUUUUUCCCUUUUUCUUUUCUUUUUCUUUUUCAGUGAUUUUCUUUUUCACAUAUUGAAAGCUACAGAAGAAAGGAAAGAGCAAAAAAAGAAGAGGGGACCC